GAGGAUGCGGGGGCGCGGCGGCGGAGGAUGCGGUGGCCAGUCAUGGAGUCACCACCGCGGCCUGGAGGAAGAAAUUUCGAAGCCCCAGCUCCUUUGCGCUUGUAAAAUCCCACUUAGCAAAAAAACUUCCAAUACCGCGGGGAAUCCAGAUCGAGACUACUACUUCUGCCGAAAAAUAGAAACAAAUGAACCAUACUCAUGCAAGACAUGUUUAUGGGUUGAUCUCGUGACCGAUUACGUCGAGAAGAUGUGCAAGUACAGAACAAGUUUUCUCCAAAAGAAACACGGGCGGGAGCUGUCGACAGUACUGGAAGAGCUUCACCGGAAGCUAGGCUCUCAGCAGAAGGGAGUCAGAGAUGAGGGAUGAGGGUCUAGCCCAGCAGAUAGAGACUAGUGAGUUGCAGUCAUAGAUUUUUGGCUCUACAAUACCAGAUCAAUUUACUCAGCUCAUCUGCCUCAAAUUCAGGAAGCUCCGCAUGGUGAUGAUCUUGUUUGUUGCCAUGUGCUGGUUAUUAGCCCUCGGCUCAAUCCUGAUUACACUUGCUGCAACUGCCGUAACAGCUUUGAUGUUUCUAGUGUAGGCUGUCAUGCAAUGUGGAGUGCCAUUUGUAGCUUUGAUUUUUCAAGUGUAGGUUGUAUCUGUAGUUCUAAUGUUUAUUCAAGAUGUACCUGUGAAUGUUCUUAGCUUAAAUGGAAAGUCAACUUUUCAAUUUUGGA